AGACGUCUACAUUAGAUACCCCGGUAGUCCCAGCCGUAAACUAUGCGCGUUAGGUGUAUCGGUGACCACGAGUCACCGAGGUGCCGAAGGGAAACCGUGAAACGUGCCGCCUGGGAAGUACGGUCGCAAGGCUGAAACUUAAAGGAAUUGGCGGGGGAGCACCACAACAGGUGGAGCCUGCGGUUUAAUUGGACUCAACGCCGGGAAGCUCACCGGAUAGGACAGCAGAAUGAUUGCCGGGCUGAAGACCCUGCAUGACUAGCUG
rnacentral:rRNA from 1 species